rnacentral:rRNA from 1 species
GGGAAAUAGAUUCACAUUUAAUAAUUACUUUCAUUUCGAGUCGGAAGUUUCAUUAACUUUAACUCGAAAUGAAAGUAAUUAUUAAAUGGGAAAUAGAUUCACAUCUUUUGUCACCAUUAACCGAUUUUGAAAAAUUUAUAUUGUAAAAAAUAAUUUUGAUUGAUUUGAGUAAUAGUAAAACCGCUGUGACCCGAAAGACGGUGAACUAUGAGUGAGCAGGGCGAAGCCAGAGGAAACUCUGGUGGAGGCUCGAAGGGGGUACUAACGUGCAAAAUUGUUCUUCAGACUUGCUUAUAGGGGCGAAAGACUAAUCGAACCGUCUGGUAGCUGGUUCCCCGCGAAAUUUCCCCCACGGAUAGCUGGAGCUCGAACUAAUGAACAGUUUCAUCCGGUAAAGCGAAUGAUUAGAGGAACGGGGGUCGAAACGACCUUUGCCUAUUCUCAAACUUUAAAUGGGUGAGAAAGUUGCAGUUGCUUG